rnacentral:tRNA from 1 species
AUUUAAGUAAUUUAAUUAAAAUGUUGAUUUGUGGUAUCAAUAAUGUAAUUUUUUAUUACCUUAAAUU